rnacentral:lncRNA from 1 species
AUGAUGUAUAUCGAUUAUGUUCUGCACUGCAUCGCGACUCGUCGAUUAUGCGAUGAAUUUCAACGCCCCUACUUUCAGAAUUCAUCACAGCCCACAUGCCGUCAGUCAUAUCCGGAUUUCAUGUCUUAUAUUUGCAUAUUUUACAGCUGGCCAGCGGUUUGGGUGGCGACCACGCCCCUUUCCGCCCAAACCGAAAGUCGUCUCACCGGCGCGUCCAGGAUGAACUCGGUCCCGGUCCUGCUGAGGAGGACGCUGGACAAUCUGGCCGCGUCCGACUUCAAGCGGUUCCGGCAGGAGCUGUGCGACCUCGGCCUCGCCUGGGGGAAGCUGGAGGAGGCCGACGUGGGCGACACGGUGCAGCUGAUGGUGCAGGCGUUCCGGGUGGAGCUGGCGGGGGUCACGACCGUGUCCCUGCUGAGGACCAUGGGACAGAACCAGCUGGCUGCGGAGCUAGAGAAGAAGCUCAGUGCAGGGGGGUCUCCUGAGGCUGCACGGCCUGGAGGGUCCGGAGGACGCCCGACCGGCGCUGCCCCAGCGAGUGUGGUGAACAUCACGGCCUCCGAUGGAUCUGUUGUCCACGCACAUACAAUCUCUCGUUGCAACAUUGGUGGAUCUGUGAAUUUUAGCACCAAUAAUAAGAAAUGAGCUGCCUGGGUGAAAUUCUCUCUUUUAUAAAGUGUAAUUAAAGUGUAAUAUACACACACACACAUACACGUUUUUAAGGCUUCAGUGAAACAAAAUUGUAAAACUAUAUUUUCUAUUUAAGACGAAAUGGAUGUCGUUCCACACUAGAAGACGUCUCAUGACAAUUUAUCAUGCGGAGUCACCCUGACAGACAUAUUAUUGUGCAUUUUACUUGACUGUGCUCAGCAUAUGAUGUCGUGUGAUGGCAUUAAAGCAGGUGUCCCCAACUCUGGGGUGUCUCCAGGGGGACUGUCCCUGUAACUACUGAUUGUAAGCAAGAAAAAAAAUCUGUAUUGGUCCAGAAUUCCCACUCAAAUAAACUCAACAUGUAUUUUUUAAUCUAUACUGAA